GACGAACGCUGGCGGCGCGCUUAACACAUGCAAGUCGAGCGGAUGCGGGACGGGUGAGUAACACGUAGUAACCUGCCUUUGACAUUGGGAUAGCCUCGGGAAACUGGGAUUAAUACCAAAUGCAAAGAUGGACUCGCGGCUGAUUAGCUAGUUGGUGAGGUAAAGGCUCACCAAGGCGACGAUCGGUAGCUGGUCUGAGAGGACGACCAGCCACACUGGGACUGAGACACGGCCCAGACUCCUACGGGAGGCAGCAGUGGGGAAUGUUGGACGAUGGGGGCAACCCUGAUCCAGCCAUGCCGCGUGCAGGAUGAAGGUCUUCGGAUUGUAAACUGCUUUUGUCAGGGAAGCGGUACCUGAAGAAUAAGCACCGGCUAACUACGUGCCAGCCGCCGCGGUAAUUC
rnacentral:rRNA from 1 species